ensembl:lncRNA
AUUGUUUUCUAACAGAAUGUAUUAAUUAAAAGUUACGUUAUGCUAAUUGAUAAAGGUAAGUACAUGUAAAUUGGAACAUUACGUUAUCAUUGUGCAAAAUUCAGGACAUGAACUUCUGUUUUUAUGAACCCCUUGAAUGCUCAGCAGCAGGGAUGUCUCUCUUCAGAGUCCAACAGUAAUCAGCCAUCAUGACUGCAUCCCAGCGUCCCUGAUACCUGGUCUCCAUCUCUUUUAUGUCCUGAUGGAAUCUCUCCACCUGCUCAUCACUCAGUGAUCCCAGAUUCUCAGGAAACCUGAACAUUUAGCUCCUUUUGGGAAAAAGGAUGUGGAGCAUCAUCAUUAAAACCACACUGGAGGAAUCUUUGUCACUGAUGUCAGGAACUUCUCCAAACACAGGUACUGGAAUUUAAUCCCAGUGAGCUACAGGACGACGUGCUGAUUCACGGUCAGGAUACUUGAGGCUGCUUCGGUUCUUUCUGUUGAUCCCAGUCACAUCAAUAGCCCAGAAGUAGCUGUUGAUGUCGGCUCCCUCCAAACCAUGGGAAUUCCAAACUUCAGACAGCUCUUCUUGCCUUUAGUCCACUGACGCAGAUACUCGGUGCAUGACUUGCAUGCCAUGUGUGGCGCCCAAGCUUCAUCUUGGUCACCAAGUUUAAUCCCAAAAUAAGCAUGGUAAGCACGCUUUAUGAAACUUGUGACUUGAUUCCUGUUAGGAACAUUGGUGUAUUCACCGCAGAUGUAGCAGAAUAUGUCAGGCUUAUUUUUGCAAGAUCUUCUAGUCAAAGCCAUUUCAUUCACUUGUAAUAUAAAAAAAAAACAAUUAGUCAUAAAUUGGCACAUGCAAAAUCUUCAGAAUUUGUUUAUAGUGAGAAAUAUAACAGAAUUUUGCAUCAUAUGACAUGAAAAUACUCAUACAUGUAAACAAAAUCGUCCAAAAACAAAUAUGUAGCUUAGUUCAGAACGUUGACCUGAUUGAGCAAAACCAAUGUGAUUUUUGGAUUCAGCACAUCAAGAUGAUCCUAAAUCAGCUUAAAAAUCUUAGACAAUAAAUUUAGUGUUGACCAGUGUAAUGAGGAUGCUGGGAGUGCAUAAGGAAAGUGAGGCAUAACUCUGGACCACUGCAAACUGAAAUAAACUAACUAUGUUUGCACCUUUAACUAGACAUGGAGACAUUUUAAUGAACUUUCACUCAGGGGGAGAUGUCCUUAUUACUUUACAUUACAUCAGUAUCAAGAUUUCAGCCUCUUUCCUCUUUUCAGCAUCAUGAGUUUAUAUGAAUGUGCAAUGGGUUAUAUUGAGGUCGUGGAAAUACUUCAAAAAGCUUGUUCUGAUCAAAUUUGUAUCGUAUAAAUGCACUUGUUAAUGCAGUUUUUCACAUUUUCAUGUCCAUGUAAUUGACUUGAGUUCAGUUUCUGUUUUGAUUUGUGAGGUUGGGGAGGGGG